rnacentral:rRNA from 1 species
AGAGUUUGAUCCUGGCUCAGGAUGAACGCUGGCGGCGUGCUUAACACAUGCAAGUCGAACGGGAAUUACUUUAUUGAAACUUCGGUCGAUUUAAUUUAAUUCUAGUGGCGGACGGGUGAGUAACGCGUGGGUAACCUGCCUUAUACAGGGGGAUAACAGUCAGAAAUGGCUGCUAAUACCGCAUAAGCGCACAGAGCUGCAUGGCUCGGUGUGAAAAACUCCGGUGGUAUGGGAUGGGCCCGCGUCUGAUUAGGCAGUUGGCGGGGUAACGGCCCACCAAACCGACGAUCAGUAGCCGACCUGAGAGGGCGACCGGCCACAUUGGGACUGAGACACGGCCCAAACUCCUACGGGAGGCAGCAGUGGGGAAUAUUGCACAAUGGGGGAAACCCUGAUGCAGCGACGCCGCGUGAAGGAAGAAGUAUCUCGGUAUGUAAACUUCUAUCAGCAGGGAAGAAAAUGACGGUACCUGACUAAGAAGCCCCGGCUAACUACGUGCCAGCAGCCGCGGUAAUACGUAGGGGGCAAGCGUUAUCCGGAUUUACUGGGUGUAAAGGGAGCGUAGACGGAUGGACAAGUCUGAUGUGAAAGGCUGGGGCUCAACCCCGGGACUGCAUUGGAAACUGCCCGUCUUGAGUGCCGGAGAGGUAAGCGGAAUUCCUAGUGUAGCGGUGAAAUGCGUAGAUAUUAGGAGGAACACCAGUGGCGAAGGCGGCUUACUGGACGGUAACUGACGUUGAGGCUCGAAAGCGUGGGGAGCAAACAGGAUUAGAUACCCUGGUAGUCCACGCGGUAAACGAUGAA